rnacentral:lncRNA from 1 species
CCGUAAAGGGUCUUGGAACGACUGGGGGCCAGGAUUCUCUGAGGGCGGGAAUCCGGGCGGCCGUCAGCUCUCGGUGGUGAUCGAGGCCACGCUCCGCCUGUCUCUGGGCGUGCAUACCUCGGUUUCCCCGUUUGUGACGUGGGAAGGCAAUUAGUCUGGACAUUGUUGUGGGAGGACUUGCGGAGACUGGGCGCAGGGCGUGGGGGUCAGUGAGGGCGCGGUGGGUCAGCCCCAGCCCGGCUGGCAGUCGCGGGGCUGGGAAGAGACAGAAGGAACAUAGACCAUACACGCAUUCUAGAGGAAGAGGAGAGAGAAGAGGAAGCAGGAAG